GCAAAGCAUUCUGGGAGAUCCAGAGAUGGGAGGGCCAGUCAAGACUCCUCUCCCCAAAGCAAAGCCAAGCAAGAAAAAAUCAUCAGGAAUCCACCUUUUAUAUCAUGGUCUCUUGAUAAAAGUUAUGCAACAUUUUGGAAAACCCAGGCACAGUUAAAUCAUAAUAGUGGAAAGCUACGAACUUAUUGCAAGAUCAAGACAAAUUUUAAACUAGAAAAAUAUUUAUCAGAAGCUAAUGUUAGACGCCGACAAUCUAUGACUAGAUUGCGUGUCUCGGCACACAAACUAGCAAUUGAAACAGGCCGCUA